rnacentral:misc_RNA from 1 species
GAUGAAGAACGUAGCGAAAUGUGAUAAUUAAUGUGAAUUGCAGAAUUCAGUGAAUCAUCGAGUCUUUGAACGCACAUUGCGCCCCCUGGUAUUCCGGGGGGCAUGCCUGUCCGAGCGUCAUUGCUGCCCUCAAGCACGGCUUGUGUGUUGGGCUUCCGUCCCUGGCAACGGGGACGGGCCCAAAAGGCAGUGGCGGCACCAUGUCUGGUCCUCGAGCGUAUGGGGCUUUGUCACCCGCUCCCGUAGGUCCAGCUGGCAGCUAGCCUCGCAACCAAUCUUUUUAACCAGGUUGACCUCGGAUCAGGAAGGGAUACCCGCUGAACUUAAGCAUAUCAAUAAGCGGAGGA